rfam:Planktothricoides sp. SR001 contig_116, whole genome shotgun sequence.
GCCGGUGUAGCUCAGAGGCCAGAGCAUUCGAUUCGUAAUCGAAUGGCCACGGGUUCGACUCCCGUCAUCGGCU